UAGGUAGUUUCAUGUUGUUGGGAUUACAUUCAAACUCUGCAACGUGAAACUGUCUUAA
rnacentral:pre_miRNA from 2 species